AUUUUGUGGUGACUGAGGGGAGGCGGGGAAAUGGCGGCAGGGGGCUGAACCCUGAGCUUGUGGCUCUGAACCACCUUUAUGCGAGGGACAGGGGACAGCCUCUAAUGUAGAACUACCAGAUCUCGAUAAAUGGGCGAAAAAUAGAAUCACAGAAUGGUUUGAGUUGGAAUGAACCUUAAAGAUCAUCUUGUUCUAGCCCAUGGGCAAAGACACCUUUCACUAACCCAGGUUGCUCCAACCUGUCCUUGGAGGGCCACAGCUUCUCUGGGCAACCUGUGCCAGGGCCUCACCACCCUCAUAGCCAAGAAUUUCUUCCUACUACCCUAUCUAAUACUACUCUCUUUUGGUCUGAAUUAUUCCCCCUCAUCCUGUCACUCCAUGGUCUUUUAAAGAAGUCUCUCUCCAUGAUUGAUAGAUGCUGAUGAUUUAUGUGGUCUCACUAACUUUAAUGAAUAUAUUGCAGAUUACUUAAAUUACACUUCAAAGAAACUUUGACAAUAUGAAGGUAAAAAAACCCCUCCACUCUCAGCACCUUUCAUGUUUGUCAAAGGAAUAAUAAACACCCACAAAGUUAUUUCCAAAAUUGAUGGUCUCCAUCUGUAUGUUUUACAUGUAGUAUCAAAAAAAACCCCAACAAAAUCUGGUUUUUUUCAUUAUUUUAGGAAAUGAAUUUUGUCGCUUCAGUAAAUGAAAUGGAUGCUGCCACCUUAGUGUUGCAAGGAAACAAAUUUUUUCAUAGCCUUUCUGCAUAGUUUUGUGCUAAGGGAGGAUAGAAAACCAGGAUCUUCAUGCUCACCAACAUAAGACAUUUAUAAAAGCAGACUGAAAGAACUUCAAGAAGUGUGGCUUAAUUAGAUUUUAUUUAGAAAGUUUCUUUUGGAAAACAGUCACUGCGAACAGUAAGGAAUAAUUAUUACAGAUUACACUGGGAGGCAAAGUCUAUUAAAGCAGAAGACACAAAAGCAAGAUUAAAGAGGAGUUUUUAAAAUAUUUAAAGUGUAUCAAAUGAAAUUAUUCACAUAAAGUGGAACUAAGUAAAAAGACAGGUUUAAUUUCCAGGAAUGAUUUCAUUUAUAAAUUGCAAAACUGUAAUAUGAAUGAAUUUGUACUAGGUGAACUUGUGAGGUUUGUAAUGCUGGCCUCUCCUUAUGGAAGCAAAAUCAACACUUUAUUCAGAUAUCUGCUUGUUCUGGCAUUGUUGUAGCAUCUGCUAAAAACGUCUUGUAUAGAUUUCAGUCUUCAGAAGAAGGAGUUGCUCUAGAGCUGAAGAAAUUUGUGUGAACACUCAUAUCUGUUCUCCUUCAAAGCAUAAACUGAUACAAAGAAUGCUAGUCCAGGUGUGCGAGAAAGCUAUGCAGGAAGAGUUUAGAGUAACAGAUUCAGCUGGCAUCGAUUGGUUUUUGUCAGAGAAAUGAAAGAUAAUAUCUUCCAAAAUGUUAGAAAUAUGAGAUACAAUAGUUAUAAUGAGGAUAAUCAGGUAGCAGGGCAGAUUAUUACAGGAGAUGCUAAAUGCUGUACUGGCUGCCUUUGUAAAAAGAGUGUCUAACUCACAAAUCGUGGGACUCACAGGAGUCACUGGGUGAAAUUCCCUGCCCUGUGUCAUGGGUAGGAUCAGAAUGGGUGAUUACAGUGGUAUCUUUUAAAUCUAUGAAUCUUUAGGCUAUUAUUUAACAUACAUCUUUUUAUAUCUACAAUCCUUAGUUCCUAUAAAAAACCCCUGUUAUUGUAAUUGCUUAGAUUGCCAGAUUCUUCAUCUUCAACAAUGUAUUACAUUUUACUGCUUGUGAAUAUGACUUGGUGAUGACUUCUUUCAGGUGCUGCUUUCUUGUUCACUUUCCCCCACAAAGAACGUUUGUGUUCUUGAACUAGAAGGCAGAAACACAAGAUCAUCCGUGAUGACAUUCAAGACAAGGUGUGGAAGGUGUUAAAAUAUUAUGCACAAAGUAGAUUUCAGUAUAUCGUGUUAUGUUAUAAACAAGACGAUAAAAUAAUUGGAUAUUUAUGUUUUGUCCUGUAAUGUCUUUAUGUCCAAAGGUCUCCCUGAUGAGUGUUAUCUUUCUGUCAGCCACUGCUCCAGAAAUGCAACUUUAAAACUGUGUAAUUAAUGUUUUUAACCUCUUACAGUUAACAUAAGAUCCUAUUAACAUUUAACAUAUGCAGUUUGAUUUACUGUUCUCAACCUAAAUUGAAAUACUAUGAUUUUAGCAUCUGUUUGAAACCCAGAAGUGGGCCUGUGCAUCCAAAUUUGGGCUGUUAGCUCUGGCUGAAUAAUUUAGUUUACUACUAGGAUUGUAGGGGGAAGUAACACAGUACCUGUGUAAUUCAUGCUUCUAAACCAUCAUGACUACAAAAGUGCUGUAGGCACUUCUUUGCAGUGUUCCUGCUUAUUAGAUGGGUCAGUCACUUGUAAGUACUGUAAUGUCAUUUUGUUGUAAAAAAUACAGGUAUUAUGAAAAAUUGAGCACAAAUUUAUAAGUUUGAAUUUAUAAUGUUACUCACGAGAGCAGGUUGAGCAUAGCUGUAGCUGGAUGUGCAUAGUGACAAAAUUACAAUUUUGGCAACAUACCUAGAUAAAUUUAUUUUCACCUUACGUGAAAUAAUUAAAAAUUGCACCUUCAUAUAAAUGACUCCUUAUGGAUGUGAACACUCAUUUGUACGUACAAAACCAUGUUUCAGCAGCUGAAAUAAGUGUCUGACAAUGAUAUUUCAACCUGACAGAAUUUUUAUUUUUUGUUAUUAAUCUUUUGCAGCAUUAAUUAAACCUGCCAAAAGUCUGUAUGAAAUAUGUAAUGGAAGGUUUGUUACACAGAACCUAUUUUAGCAGCCUUAUGAGAAUAAAGCACUUGCACAGUGAGAAAGA